rnacentral:rRNA from 1 species
GAUGAACGCUGGCGGCGUGCCUAAUACAUGCAAGUCGAGCGAACAGACGAGGAGCUUGCUCCUCUGACGUUAGCGGCGGACGGGUGAGUAACACGUGGAUAACCUACCUAUAGACUGGGAUAACUUCGGGAAACCGGAGCUAAUACCGGAUAAUAUAUUGAACCGCAUGGUUCAAUAGUGAAAGACGGUUUUGCUGUCACUUAUAGAUGGAUCCGCGCCGCAUUAGCUAGUUGGUAAGGUAACGGCUUACCAAGGCAACGAUGCGUAGCCGACCUGAGAGGGUGAUCCGCCACACUGGAACUGAGACACGGUCCAGACUCCUACGGGAGGCAGCAGUAGGGAAUCUUCCGCAAUGGGCGAAAGCCUGACGGAGCAACGCCGCGUGAGUGCUGAAGGUCUUCGGAUCGUAAAACUCUGUUAUUAGGGAAGAACAAAUGUGUAAGUAACUAUGCACGUCUUGACGGUACCUAAUCAGAAAGCCACGGCUAACUACGUG